GAUGAAGAACGCAGCGAAAUGCGAUAAGUAGUGUGAAUUGCAGAAUUCCGUGAAUCAUCGAAUCUUUGAACGCACAUUGCGCCUUCUGGUAUUCCGGAAGGCAUGCCUGUUCGAGAGUCAUUAACAACCGUUUCGAUCCCUUUCUUUCAGAAAUUACAAAGAGGAAAAGGGUUUGGUUAUGGUGGAGGAGGGAAAGGGAGCGUUUAGCCUGUAAAAAAAGAGGCUGUGUUCCGCCUCCCCCCCAAAAUUGUACAGGCGGUCGUGUGCGCCCACGCAUCGAGGUGUUGUAAAAGCUGCCACGGCACUUUUCACCUGUGCAGUGCGAGAUUGGCCAGCCGGUUUAAAACCCCUCCAAACAAUCAAAGGUUGACCUCGGAUCAGGUAGGGAUACCCGCUGAACUUAAGCAUAUCAAUAAGCGGAGGA
rnacentral:misc_RNA from 1 species